rnacentral:lncRNA from 1 species
AUUAUUAGUUUUAUUUUCAAUGUUGUCAAUUUUGAUGGUGACACGCCCACUCUGACAUUGUGUAUUCAUACGCCAACAUGUGUGAACGUUGUUAUUGUUAAUAUAAAGAGUUCUUUGAGCCUAAUUUUUUAUAGAAAUUUAUUUAUAAUGAAUGGCAAUAAUUUAUUUUGAUUUUAUUGAACCAUAAAAAUAAUUUUUGACUCUUCACAUUUUACAUAAUCCGUUUCGC